UCUUUUAUAAUAUGUAUGAGGCCUUAUGCUAUCAAAUUUUUAGAAAAAAAAUCAACGUGCUACUUUGUCAAACUCAAAUUAGCUUAUUAUUUUGUCAAUAUUGAAUUAAAGUUUGAAAAAUCCACAAUAUCAUAUCUAAAUUCUUAAGUUAAUAGGCAAGGCAAAAAAUUAGAAGAAUAGGAUAUGUGCUUUACAAUUAAUAUGCGUUUUUUGUCCUGUAAGAUCUAAUAUUGAAUUAAAGUCCGUAGAGAUAAGUCUAUUACUAUAAAAUAAUAUAUGCAGCCAUUUUAUGGAAAGGUAGAAAUAUCUGUGUGUAGCUUGCAUUGUAAUAGUAAAAUCAACUUAAAAAGGCGUGAAAUUCAUAACCACGCCGCGCUGGUCCGUCAACAUGUCGGCUCGGCGUGCGGGAGCCUAUCGUAGCCGACCUAGUGAGCGAUAGAUACCUCGCCCCGCCCGCGCCCCCCGCUCAGCAUCGCAAGCGCUGUUUGUCUUUUCUUUCAAAUCAUUCAUUUGUUUAUUUAUCGUGCACAUAAAUUAAAUGCGGACAUUACAUGAAUUUAAUUAUAGAAUAAAAGUUAUUAUGACUUCAAAAUGAGUGAAAAAUGUUUGAUAUGUGUACUGUACUGACUUAGUAACAGAGAAAAAACGAGGAAUUGAGCAGUUAAUAACUGCGAGCAAAUAAUCUUUCUUGGUGAUGGGAAAGCUAAAUAUUUCUACGGGAAGGAGGAACUACGUUUCCAUAAAAAGUGUAGAUUAUACAUUGAGUCGAAGGCUAUACCGGCGUACAAAAGACUAAUGGAGGUGGCAUCAGAGGGCUUACCGCGAACCACGUUCGACGUGUUGCCUCCCUGUCAUACUUACGUACGAAUUUACAAGUGCGACAGAGAGGUAACACGUCGAACGUGGUUCGCGAUAGGCCCUCAAAUGUACAGCCAAGUGACGAUGAUGAAAAAUACAUUUUCAAAACUUUUGUCUUUUGUUACCAUUGUGUUAGCCGCCUGUACUUACUUUCAACAUAUAUUAGUAGUUUAUGUUACUGCUACAUAAUAAAAGGCAUUAAAAUACACGAGUGUGGGCUUAGGAAACGAACGAAGUGAGUUUCUUAAAAAGAUCACACGAUUGUUUUAAUGCCUAAUUAUCUUAUACCUUUAAACGAGCAAUUCUUGUAUAUAUAUAUUUCCGGGAUCUCGGAAACGGCUCUAACGAUUUUGCUGAAAUUUGGUAUAUGGGGGUUUUUGGGGGUAAACAAUCGAGCUAGAUUAGUCUUAUGUUUGGGAAAACGCGUGUUUUCGAGUUUUCAUGCGUUUUUUUUUCGACGCAGAAUAUGGUCGCUAAUUUCGUGUUGCCGGCCACUGUCCGUCUGGUCCAGCGGGUUAAGACGCGGACUGCUAAAGGAGUGUUACGGGUUCGAAUCCCACCUGGUGACUAACUUUUGUUUUUUUUAUAUGUUCAAUUUUAUAUAUAAUUUUUUAAUUUUUAUUGUUUUAGACAAGUUUAAUUUAGGAAAAGAAUGUAGUUAAGAUUAUCACCUAUACACCACCAUAUUACAAUAAAUAGUUAGUUAUAACCGAGCAAAGCUCGGUCGCCCAGGUACUGUAUAGUUAUUGCAGGUAGUUCGCAAUCACAUUUUUAGCACAGGCAUUAUAAGAGAGGUAUGGGCAUUGUAAAUGUCAUCUGGCUCUGUGUGGUAGGGCACAGCACAGCGGAUGUCAUUCCAGAUCUAGAGCAGAACCCAACUGGGGAAGUACCUCCACCUUACAGAAAAUCGCAGCCAAAUAACACUAGACCCUACUCAUAGUGUUGUGUUCCUGCCGGUGAGUAAGGUUGCCAGAGCUCAACGAGGGGUGGGAGGGUGUUAGGGUCGGCAACGCGCAUGUAACUCCUCUGGAGUUGCAGGCGUACAUAGGCUACGGAUACUGCUUACCACCAGGCAGGCCGUAUGCUUGUUUGCCACCGACGUAGUAUAAAAAAAAAUAAAAAAACACAGUUAAAAUAUUUCAUACAUGUGCUAAUUAUUUGUCUCAGUGUAAACAAAAAUAUAUCAUAAUUAUGAUAUCAAUUUUCAAAUUCAAAAUGGCGGACAUGUUUUAUUUUAAGAAAUUAUGAGUAGUUUAAGACUUUAAAAAGCAAGAAAUUGUUUCUUGCUUCUGUUUGUAUAUGUAUCAUGUAGUAUUUGAUGUUUUCAUUAUUUUUGAAAGUCCUCAGGGUGCCAAUUACGAAAAUGACAUCUAUUAUGGAACCCAAGAUGGCGGACAUUCAUUUUUCUUAAAAAUCGGUAUGGGUGUCAUCUCCGAGGUUCUUCGAGGUUCCGAUUACGAAAAUGACGUCCAUUUUGCAAUCCAAGAUGGCGAACAUUAUUUUUUCUUAAAAAUCGAUAUGGGUGUCAUCUCCGAGGUUCAUCGGGGAUCCGAUUACGAAAAUGACGUUCAUUUUGAAAUCCAAAAUGGCGGAAAUUAUUUUUUCUUAAGUCGAUAUGGGUGUCAUAUCCGAGGUUCCUCGGGAUUCCGAUUACGAAAAUGACGUCUAUUUUGAAAUCCAAGAUGGCGGACAUUAAUUUUUCUUAAAAAUCGAUAUGAGUGUCCUCCGAGGUUCCUCGGGGUUCCAAUUACAAAAAUGACGUCAAUUUUGGCGGUUCUUGUUGGUGCAGAUUUCAAAAAUAGAGACCAUUUUAGAAUUAAAGGUGGUUGAUAUCACGGCUACACACAUCGACACCCAUUUCAAAAAGUAGCGUCCGCCAUAUUUAUUUUUAAAAUAGAUGCCAUUUUUGAAAUCCACACCCCUAAAAACCCAGAUAACAGCACUCAUGACGACUUUUUCAAAAAAGUGACGUCCGCCAUCUUUAUUUCCAAAAUGGACGUCAUUUGUAAAAUUAGUACACAUACAUCAUACAAAAUGAAAACUAAAAACAUUUCCAUCCUCUUUUGGGCAGUUGUGUAAGUCUGUGAUAACCCUAGGUAGGUACGGAGACCUUGAGCGGUGUCGGCAUUUACGCAAACAUCAAAGGCGUCGGCCCACUGUUACUUUUUACACUGUGCUUUUAGUGUGUAAACGAAAACGUCACAUGAUAUAUCAAAAGAAAAGUUAUUUUAUCUUAUACCUUUAAACGAGCAAUUCUUGUAUAUAUAUAUAUAUAAUUAUAUUUCUGUGAUCUCGGAAACGGCUCUAACGAUUUCGCUGAAAUUUGGUAUAUAGGGGUUUUUGGGGGUAUACAAUCUAUCUAGAUUAGUCUUAUGUUUGGGAAAACGCGUGUUUUCGAGUUUUCAUGCGUUUUUCUUUCGAUGCAGAAUAUGGUCACUAAUUUCGUGUUGCCGGCCACUGUCCGUCUGGUCCAGCGGGUUAAGACGCGGACUGCUAAACGAGUGUUACGGGUUCGAAUCUCGCCCGGUGACUAACUUUUGUUUUUUUUAUAUGUUCAAGUUUAUAUAUAAUUUUUUAAUUUUUAUUGUUUUACACAAGUUUAAUUUAGUAAAAAAAAUGACCUAUGUAAUAAGAGAAAUCGACAAUAGAUGGCGUUACUCUGUGACAAGUGCUGUAAGGUUAAAAUCGAUUGUAAAUAAUAAUAAUUGUCAGUUCACAUUUUACUUUUUAAGUUUAUGUAGA